AAUCCCAACCUCAGACUAAUGUGAAGGAUAAGACGCCGUGGCGGAAGUCAAAUCUGAAUUCAUCAAAUCUUGUUGAGGAAAGUGAUAAUCGGCGGUUGCGACGAUAAAAUUCUCGUGGUAGCAGCUUCGAAAGUCCUUCUCUCCAGGCCAUCAAAGAGGAGGAGAAACGCAAAGGUCUCAUUGGUAACCUGGGUCAAGACACCUCAGACAGCUUGACCGUUUACCUGCGUCGCCCGAGCGACCCACCUGACACGUCCAGCACGUCCGCACGUCUCCGGGCCGGGAAGGUGAGCCCCCUCUUGGCGCGCCGCGUCCUCCCCUCGCUGGACACCCCACCCCGCUCUCCCGAGGAUCAGCACCACCUACCCCCAUUCUCCUCCCCCUCACGACUUAGGUCGGACUCCCUGGUCCAGGACAAGGUGGAGAUCGACUCCGACAACAUCGAGACCCCUCCGGCCACGAGGAAGCUCAUUCGGGUAGGCCGGGAGCCAGAACGAGCAUCGACCAGGUCUUCGUCGCCCAGGAAGAAAGACGACGAAGAAGUUCUGGGCGAUGGUCAAUUCGACCGGUUCUCCUCGGCGCGGCGAACCAGGAGGUACCGGAAGUCCCUGGAAGAGGAGCGGCCCGAGGGUGGCGCCUGGGAGAACCUGGGAGACAAACUAGUCAAAAGCACCGACGCCCCGCCCGUCGGGGUGGACACCGAGUCCCGACUGCGCCAGUGGCAAGACCGGCUCAAGUACAAAGGCAACGAGGAGCAGGCCAUGGAGAUCAUCACGCGCUCUGGUGAGGAACUUAAGAAUAUCGGACAGCAACGCGUGUCCCUGGACGAGAUGCGCGACUCCUCCAAGCCGGGAAACAUCGUACCGUCAUCAGCAUCAAUGGGGAGGAUAAGGACAAACCCUACCUGGGCCGGGACUACAAGACGGAUCGGGAGAUGAGGCAGUCGCACCGGGCGAGCCACGGGCACGGCUCUUUCCUCGAUCAGGAAGCCAAGUUCGCGCCCACCUCCAUCAAGAUCCAAAACCGGGAUAGUGCUGCGCGCCACCGAAACGAAUUUAUCCCUGAAAUCAAGGUGCAGGCGCUGACUCCAUCAAAACAAAAGGAGAACGACCUCAACGACGAGGGCUUCGAGGAGACACAGAGCCUUAACAGCCAGAGCACAAACAACGAAACCGACGGCGUGGAUUCUGCUCAUAAAACGUUUAACCGGACCGACAGCUCCGACAGCGCCCCCUCGCGGCCGGUCAGCCGAAGUUUGUCGCUCCGCAACCGGAUAUCCAGCGACAGCAGCGCCCCCAAACGGACCCCCAGCCUCCGGCGCACCGACUCAUUAUCGAAACCAAGAACGCCCACCCCCGUCGAGUCCACCCUGCGGCGCAAACUAGGCUCGAAUCAAGACAUUAACAGUAGCAGUAAUAACAUUAAUAAAAUUAACAAUAUUAAUAGUUCCAGGACUAAUUUGAAGCUGUCUAACUUGAGCGACAAGAGCAAUCUCCUCAUCAAGAACGCCAAGAACAGCUCCGGGGACCUGCGCAAGCCCUCGCUGGCCCGCACCAACUCCCAGCGGAGCGUCCUCAAAACCUCAAACAUUAAGGUGGAACCAAGAAAGAAGGUGGAGCGAUCCAACUCGCGGAGCAGUCUCCGUAGCUCGCGGAGCUCCCUGAACAGCGCGACCUCCGUGAGCACGGUGCGGAACCUCCAGCCGGGCGCCGGGCUCCGGAACUACACCAACACCAUGAAGUCGGAUCCGGGCAAACCCCUGGCUUCGGUACAGCUCAAGUCGAGGAGUUCGGUGCCAGCCAGCCGCAGCUCGAGUAGCGGGAGCAACAGCAGUGUGAGCGCCACCCCGGUCACCUCCACGGUGAAGCGCCCCAAGAUCUCCUCGGGUCUCAGCACCAGCUUCAAGGAGAACUCCGGGACCGCCGCCCUCCGCAGUGGCAGCAUCAGCAACCAGGGCUCCAGAGCCACUAGCUCCUUCAUGCGACCCACCGCCUCCACGCAAGCCAAGAACACCGCUGAUAACCCUAAGCCUAAAGUUACCUCCUCCAGGUUGACUUUCAAGUGAGACAGUAAUUAGUAAUGAGUUAUUUAUGUUCCAAAAUUGGCCAGCAGUGGCGCCGGGUACUUUGCCAUGUAUCGAUUUACCUGCCGUCUAAACCUAUGGAAAAGGAUCGAUAAACAGGGUGUUCGCAACGGACACCUUAAUAGUCGACUCUUUACCGCAAAUUCAAAUGGGGGAAAUAUCGAUUAUCGAUCAUUCACGCUUCGCCACUGUUGGCCAGUCGCAACUUUUUCGCCACGUCCGCGGAAUGAUCAAGUCAUCCCCGUUGUUCAGUCUGGCGCAUGGGCUCAUUGGCAUAAUUUUCUGACUUUUGAUUGGCCAGUUCGCAGAGUGGGCAACGGGGGUGACCUAUCCGCAGACGAGACAAAAAAGUUGCUCGGUCUCCGGAAUGGGCGAUUUCGCCGGCGAAAUGUAACAUUUACACUGAGAAGAAGGCGGUCUCGUGUACCGGUAGACAGCUGAUUUUGAGCCGCCUCAUCCAUGUCCAUUUGUGCAAAAUAUUAGUUUUACAUUACUUAAUUGUUGUUGCACACCGACUAAAUUGGUGCUGUUGACCAACUACCACACUAUAAAUUAUGAUCUGACGAUGAUCGCCAAAAUUAGCCUAACUACAUACUACUUAUUGCCUAGUUAUUCCCUCUUCCGUGUUACGUUUUGUUUUUUUUUUUAAAGAAAAUCCAGAUAACAUUCUGCUAUGAGAUUGUGUAAUGGAAUUUUUUAUAUUCUAGAGGUAACUCUUAAAAUAUUUUAAAGCAUAAAGUUUUGAAUUGCCUCAUGUUUGCCUCAUGUUGUUGUGUGAACAAAAUAAGAAAUCAGGCAUCAUGAAAUGUAAAUUGUCUUUCCGGUUAAAGUCAUUCAGUCGCUGCGCAGCAUUAAUUUAGUUGAUAUGUCACAUAAUAUUGACAGUUUACAACACCAAUUUGGUCUGUGUGCAGGACCAUUUGGGUUAAGUGGUUCAAAAGUAGGUCUAUUGGUGCUCAACACCAACUCUAUUUUUUUCGUAUGAUACUUUUUUGGUAUGUAAUUUUCGGAAAAAAGCUUUGAGCUCUGCAAUUUUCAGAAUUUACUGUGACUAUGACCUGAAUCCCUGUGGUUUCAGUUAAUGUUUUUUCUUGGAACUUUGGAAUCAUUUCUAAUCUUCCCUCGAAACUUUCGGUUUUAAUCAAAGAACUUUUCCCGGAACAUGUUAAAUAGAUUUGAACCUCUCCAAAACUUUGAACAGUUCUGGUUGGAAAUCUUGUCCGCAAUUUCAUUAGACACAUUUCUCUACUAAAACUCGAAAAAAUUUCUCUCGGUGUCAAGGGCUGACUUCCAUGUUUUAAUUAGUGCUGUGUUAAGUAUUGAUGUUAUGAAAAUUAAGAACAUAUUCUAUUUUUCUAUUCAGAACCGGACAAUUAGGCAACAGUGUUUUCAAAUCAUAUUUACAUAAGUUCCUGGUUGUACAAAAUACUCUUUUAGCUCAUCCCUUGUCUUCUCGAUGACAUAACUUGCCAUCAUUUCAGUCAUCCGUCCAUUCUGAUCAAGGAGGAAGGAGGUAUGCCGAAAGAAAUCGUGUAGUCAAUUAUUGAGUGGUCAAUCAAAAAAGCUUUGCUAAAAUAAAAAAUAUUUAUUCAUUGUUUUUAUUUAUUUAUUGAAUUUAGUCAAUUAUUCAGAUACUGAGCAAAAGUCAUAAAAAACAUCACCCAAGAAAGCGGUGAGCUUAAUCUAAACAGACGGCUGCCGAGAUGUAUCGAUGAAAUGUUCAACUUUAAAAAUCUUAUGGAUUCAAUUUUUUCAAAACUAGUCCAAGCACUGAGUAAUUAAAAUCAGAGACCAGUCAUGAAUGAGGAGGAUUUUAAAAUUUGCGCCAAAAGUUUAAAAACGCAUCUUUGAGGUAUUGAAGACUCUGAGACAAUGAGUGAUGUAUGUACAGACAAUAAUCCUGCACUCAAGGAUAAGUGUCCGGAGUUUUAAAAUUUUACCGUGAAAAAACUGUAUUAUUUUCUCCGUAAGUGUAGGAUAGUAUUCGUUUUUGGAAUUUGGAGGUCGAAAAUAGCUUACAAAAAUUUGUAAACGACGGACUAAUGAUAGGCCCAAAGACCUGCAAAUUUCUUUGACGGCAGCUGUCUGAAAUUUCUGAAGGGUCAGUUAAAAAGAUAUCCAACUGAUUAGCCAAACGAGGAUGUAAAUUUUAAAUAUCAUAAUAAUUGAAGUCCAUAAUAGUACCUACCUCAUAUGCAUUGUUCUGUUAGGCAACCAAAGUCGGUUCGGCCUAUUUCACUAACAGACCCCUCAUGGUCUGUUUACAAAAUUGUUUUUUUCUAGUUUUUCGUCCGAAUUUUAGACUUUUUACCAGUAAGUAUUACCAUUGGUGUUGUUUCCUUCAAGCAGUGGCAAUCAGUCUGAUACUUAUAGAAAGUUAUCAAUAACAGUUUUUUUCUAUUUUUAUAAUAUAAUUUUAUUAGAAUUGUAAUAUUUUAAGUCCUUAAUUGUAUUAUAUUGAUUUUUAUUUUAUUAAUUUCAAAUGAUGUUCUUCAUUUCUACCUACCCGAGAAAGUUCUAGCAGCAAUUACUCUGCGGGCACCGUUACGGAAGUCUAUAGCCGCAAAGUUUUUUGUGUAUUACUAUUGUUGAUGAUUUCAUAGAAACCCUCAGAUGUAUGGACAAAUAUGACCGAUACUGAAAAACAAAACAAUUGUUUUUCCCCGUACAACAGCGAAAUCGUUCUCAAAAAUAAAAAGAAUAAAAAGAUGAGAGGAGCCCAUGAAAUUGUAUUCUUAUGAAUGAAGGUGCAUCGUCACCGAGAGUUACAGUGAAGCAUCAACUUGCAAAAAUACGAACCACCGGUGUCAAUUUGUUUGCUGAAUUUUUUCUUUCUUUCCGUCCUUUGAGAUGCUAAAAGUGAUUUAUUUCUUGACAAAAUCUAAUUAAUUUACUUUUAAAUUUGAUCUAACUUACUUUGAUUAAUUUAUCAAUGUCAUUAAUAUUAUAACUCUAGGUAGGUACCUUUAAUGAAAAAACAAAAGCACUCAACUUUACAAAAAAUAAUAAAAAUCA
rnacentral:lncRNA from 1 species